UUUUGUUCUUUCUUGCGUCAUCUAGAUAUGUUUCAAGUAGAUCAUUCUAGUUUUCGGGCAGUUUCUUGAAUUUCCUACACUUCUAAUGUACUUUCGAUCGAUCGAUCGAAGUCCAUUUCGAUUGAUCGAAGUUCCACUUUGAUCGAUCGAACCCUUUGAAAUCAUGACUUUUCAUCUUCCACUUCGAUUGAUCGAAGGAAUCCUGGAUCGAUUGAAGUUCAUCUGGAUCGAUCGAAGACCCCUUCAAUCGAUUAAAAAUACGUCUUUUGAACUUUUGAGACUUGCUUUGGCCGUUGGCCUUCAACCCUAAACCUUUGUUUUUUUUUUUUCUCUUUCUACCUCUUCUGCUCCCUCAACUCUCGUCUCUCUCUUUCCGUGUAACUUUCCCUCUCGUAAUCUCUAACACUCCCUCAAUCUCUCAAUCUCCCAACCUCCUCACUCCGGCGAACCAAGACGAACUCAACCCACCUCACCAUCUCUCUCGUCGCCGACGAAGGAACCCAAGUGACACCGAGCUCCAUUUUUGCCGAUGCAAAGCUUUUGGCCAAAAGGGCCAAGCUCUUUCGUCCCUCCUUGCUUGAAUCUCUUUCUGAAUCUCUUAUUCUCAUCAUCUCAGCCGAUCUAGGCCAAAGAGACCUCGUUUCAUCACUCCGGUAUCGUCUGCAACUUCAGGCGAGACUCCAGCGAGCCUCCGAUCACCACUUCCGACCAAGGUUAGGCCAGAAUUCUUCAUUUCGUCCUGAAUCCCUCCGUUUCCAUCCUCCCUUCCAUCUUUUGGAUCAGAUGCAGCGUAGGCAAAAAACUCUUGCCCUAAAAAGAGUAGCUUGAGCUAUACAGCCUCUUCCAUCUCCUCUGGCAAAGUCUUCUUCUUCAUCUUCAGAGGCUACACUAUCUAUUUCAGCUCAUUCUAAGUCAGCUUACACGGAGGCACAAGGCUCCAUAAUCAGAGCAGGACCCAUCCCAUAUUUUUCUGGCCGGAAGCUCGAGCCAGAGUUCAGAUUUGACCUGGAGCUAUUUUUAGAGCUAGAUUAGACGAAAUGUUCUUAUGAAGAGCUCACUUGGUGGGGCAUCGAGGCCAUUAUAACACUGGCUGACACAGUAGUCUAUCCCCGGUUGGUUGCUUUAUUCUUCCAGCACCUCCAGAUGAAUGAGGAUGAUGGACAACUGAUGCAUACAACCAUUGAUGGUCAUGAUAUUGAUAUCUCCAUUCCUAUCAUAGUUGUUGCUUGCCGAUGCCCCCAUCUCUCCCCACAGGUCACUGACUCUGAGGAUCCUCUAUAUCUUAUCACUCUAACCUAUCCUAAGGAGUUGGACAUGGUUGCUACUUUAUCCCCAUAGGCGGCCUAUGAGGCCAAUAUAUUUGCUGAUUGGGUUGACAUAGAUCCCCGUUAUUGGUUUCUGGACUCCGUCUUACACCUUAAUGCAUUCCCUUCGGGACAUGGCACACAGCGACGAGAGGGUAUUCUGAAGGCCAUGUACUAUUUGAGCCAGGGGUGCUGGUUCUCUAUUGCUGCUAUGAUUUGGGAGCUCAUUCAUAAGUAUUGGGAGAAUACGAUUUUCAGGCGCAUUAGCAGAGCAGCUACUUGGCCACUACUAUUUAGCCACCUCAUUACACAGUUGCUGCUUGACCAGGGUUACUCUUUUGACCCCGAUGAGAUUCCCAAGCUUGUGGAGCGUAGAGGGCUUAUGACCAAGUAAAAUGGACGAAGACGUACAAUGCCUGUGUGAAGAAGAAAAAGAAUAGAGAUCAGAAGAGAGAGCGAGAGCAGCAGCAGAGAGGUCAGGCUAAGGCAGCAGUGGGGGAUACAGCUGAGGGAUCUGAUGGAUCACCUUCAAGACAGCGGAGACAUACUACUACAUCUGCAUCUACCUCCCAGCUAGACAUACCCCUUCCUUCUCAACAGGCUGGCCCCUCACAUGUUGCACCUCCAGAGUAGAUGCCUUAAACCGACUCAAAGUCCCAUCAUGCCAGUUCUGACUUCACAUACCGAGCUGAUGUAGUUUAGCUAUAGACAGAUUUUAUUUCAUUCAGGGUUGACAUGACCGGCCGAUAUGAGGACAUCACACGACGUCAUGACGAUCUAGUGUGGAGACACAAUGACCUGGUGAGGAGGCAUGAGGAUACGAUUCGGCAAUCCGAUGAGCUGCAAACCGAGGUUAUUGAGUCAAGGAGAGACAUUGCUACACUACGGUUAGACUUGCAGACUACUCUCACUCGACACAGCCGAGAGAUGCCCGAUAUGCUCCAGGUCAUCGCCGACAUGAUGGCACCAGAUACUGCACUAUGAUUCUGCCUCUCUAUGUCUAUCUCUAUCACUCAUUACCUGCUCUGCUACACUAAUAUUUUGAUACAUUGUUAUCUCUGGGAUAUUUUUACAAUGAUUUGUUAUUUAAAACUAGUUUUGGAUCUUUUGCACUGCACUCGAUACACAUUGGUUUUUGGAUUAUGUUUUUGGAUCUAUUUGAUAUAUUAUUGGAUUUUUGGAUUGUAGAUA